UAAACGUCUCAGUUCGGAUUGUAGUCUGCAACUCGACUACAUGAAGCUGGAAUCGCUAGUAAUCGCAGAUCAGAAUGCUGCGGUGAAUACGUUCCCGGGUCUUGUACACACCGCCCGUCACACCAUGGGAGUCGGAAAUGCCCGAAGCCGGUGACCCAACCAAAAGGAGGGAGCCGUCGAAGGCAGGUCUGAUAACUGGGGUGAAGUCGUAACAAGGUACC
rnacentral:rRNA from 1 species